rnacentral:rRNA from 1 species
AGCCAUACCGCGUGUGUGAAGAAGGCCUUCGGGUUGUAAAGCACUUUAAGCAGGGAGAAAAAGUUAUAAGCUAAUAUCUUAUGACCUUGAUGUUACCUGCAGAAUAAGCACCGGCUAAUUCCGUGCCAGCAGCCGCGGUAAUACGGAAGGUGCAAGCGUUAAUCGGAAUUACUGGGCGUAAAGCGCGCGUAGGUGGUUUGUUAAGUUGGAUGUGAAAGCCCUGGGCUCAACCUAGGAACUGCAUCCAAAACUAACUCACUAGAGCACGAUAGAGGGAGGUAGAAUUCAUAGUGUAGCGGUGGAAUGCGUAGAUAUUAUGAAGAAUACCAGUGGCGAAGGCGGCCUCCUGGAUCUGCACUGACACUGAGGUGCGAAAGCGUGGGUAGCGAACAGGAUUAGAUACCCUGGUAGUCCACGCCGUAAACGAUGACAACUAGCUGUUGGGAGACAAAGUCUUUCAGUGGCGCAGCUAACGCUUUAAGUUGUCCGCCUGGGGAGUACGGCCGCAAGGCUAAAACUCAAAUGAAUUGACGGGGACCCGCACAAGCAGUGGAGCAUGUGGUUUAAUUCGACGCAACGCGAAGAACCUUACCAGCGUUUGACAUGGGAAGUACCGGUUACAGAAUGGUAACCUUCAGUUCGGCUGGCUUCCACACAGGUGCUGCAUGGCUGUCGUCAGCUCGUGUCGUGAGAUGUUGGGUUAAGUCCCGCAACGAGCGCAACCCUUAUCGUUAGUUACUAACAGUUCGGCUGAGGACUCUAGCGAAACUGCCGGUGAUAAGCCGGAGGAAGGUGGGGAUGACGUCAAGUCCUCAUGGCCCUUACACGCUGGGCUACACACGUGCUACAAUGGUAACUACAACGGGACGCAAUACCGCGAGGUGGAGCAAAUCCCAAAAAGUUAUCUCAGUUCGGAUUGCACUCUGCAACUCGAGUGCAUGAAGUUGGAAUUGCUAGUAAUC